UGGGGAAUAUUGGACAAUGGGCGAAAGCCUGAUCCAGCCAUGCCGCGUGUGUGAAGAAGGUCUUCGGAUUGUAAAGCACUUUAAGUUGGGAGGAAGGGCAGUUACCUAAUACGUGAUUGUUUUGACGUUACCGACAGAAUAAGCACCGGCUAACUCUGUGCCAGCAGCCGCGGUAAUACAGAGGGCGCAAGCGUUAAUCGGAAUUACUGGGCGUAAAGCGCGCGUAGGUGGUUUGUUAAGUUGGAUGUGAAAUCCCCGGGCUCAACCUGGGAACUGCAUUCAAAACUGACUGACUAGAGUAUGGUAGAGGGUGGUGGAAUUUCCUGUGUAGCGGUGAAAUGCGUAGAUAUAGGAAGGAACACCAGUGGCGAAGGCGACCACCUGGACUAAUACUGACACUGAGGUGCGAAAGCGUGGGGAGCAAACA
rnacentral:rRNA from 1 species